GGCGGUGUGCCUAAUACAUGCAAGUCGUACGCACUGGCCCAACUGAUUGAUGGUGCUUGCACCUGAUUGACGAUGGAUCACCAGUGAGUGGCGGACGGGUGAGUAACACGUAGGUAACCUGCCCCGGAGCGGGGGAUAACAUUUGGAAACAGAUGCUAAUACCGCAUAACAACAAAAGCCACAUGGCUUUUGUUUGAAAGAUGGCUUUGGCUAUCACUCUGGGAUGGACCUGCGGUGCAUUAGCUAGUUGGUAAGGUAACGGCUUACCAAGGCGAUGAUGCAUAGCCGAGUUGAGAGACUGAUCGGCCACAAUGGAACUGAGACACGGUCCAUACUCCUACGGGAGGCAGCAGUAGGGAAUCUUCCACAAUGGGCGCAAGCCUGAUGGAGCAACACCGCGUGAGUGAAGAAGGGUUUCGGCUCGUAAAGCUCUGUUGUUGGAGAAGAACGUGCGUGAGAGUAACUGUUCACGCAGUGACGGUAUCCAACCAGAAAGUCACGGCUAACUACGUGCCAGCAGCCGCGGUAAUACGUAGGUGGCAAGCGUUAUCCGGAUUUAUUGGGCGUAAAGCGAGCGCAGGCGGUUGCUUAGGUCUGAUGUGAAAGCCUUCGGCUUAACCGAAGAAGUGCAUCGGAAACCGGGCGACUUGAGUGCAGAAGAGGACAGUGGAACUCCAUGUGUAGCGGUGGAAUGCGUAGAUAUAUGGAAGAACACCAGUGGCGAAGGCGGCUGUCUGGUCUGCAACUGACGCUGAGGCUCGAAAGCAUGGGUAGCGAACAGGAUUAGAUACCCUGGUAGUCCAUGCCGUAAACGAUGAGUGCUAGGUGUUGGAGGGUUUCCGCCCUUCAGUGCCGGAGCUAACGCAUUAAGCACUCCGCCUGGGGAGUACGACCGCAAGGUUGAAACUCAAAGGAAUUGACGGGGGCCCGCACAAGCGGUGGAGCAUGUGGUUUAAUUCGAAGCUACGCGAAGAACCUUACCAGGUCUUGACAUCUUGCGCUAACCUUAGAGAUAAGGCGUUCCCUUCGGGGACGCAAUGACAGGUGGUGCAUGGUCGUCGUCAGCUCGUGUCGUGAGAUGUUGGGUUAAGUCCCGCAACGAGCGCAACCCUUGUUACUAGUUGCCAGCAUUAAGUUGGGCACUCUAGUGAGACUGCCGGUGACAAACCGGAGGAAGGUGGGGACGACGUCAGAUCAUCAUGCCCCUUAUGACCUGGGCUACACACGUGCUACAAUGGACGGUACAACGAGUCGCAAGCUCGCGAGAGUAAGCUAAUCUCUUAAAGCCGUUCUCAGUUCGGACUGUAGGCUGCAACUCGCCUACACGAAGUCGGAAUCGCUAGUAAUCGCGGAUCAGCAUGCCCGGU
rnacentral:rRNA from 1 species